GACGAACGCUGGCGGCGUGCUUAACACAUGCAAGUCGAACGCUGAAGCUCAGCUUGCUGGGUGGAUGAGUGGCGAACGGGUGAGUAACACGUGAGUAACCUGCCCUCUUCUUUGGGAUAACGCCCGGAAACGGGUGCUAAUACUGGAUAUUCACUGAUUCUCGCAUGGGGGUUGGUGGAAAGGUUUUUUCUGGUGGGGGAUGGGCUCGCGGCCUAUCAGCUUGUUGGUGGGGUGAUGGCCUACCAAGGCUUUGACGGGUAGCCGGCCUGAGAGGGUGACCGGUCACAUUGGGACUGAGAUACGGCCCAGACUCCUACGGGAGGCAGCAGUGGGGAAUAUUGCACAAUGGGCGAAAGCCUGAUGCAGCGACGCCGCGUGAGGGAUGGGGGCCUUCGGGUUGUAAACCUCUUUCGCUCAUGGUCAAGCCGCAGCUUUGGGUUGUGGUGAGGGUAGUGGGUAAAGAAGCGCCGGCUAACUACGUG
rnacentral:rRNA from 1 species